rnacentral:rRNA from 1 species
GAUGAACGCUGGCGGCGUGCCUAAUACAUACAAGUCGAGCGAACAGACGAGGAGCUUGCUCCUCUGACGUUAGCGGCGGACGGGUGAGUAACACGUGGAUAACCUACCUAUAAGACUGGGAUAACUUCGGGAAACCGGAGCUAAUACCGGAUAAUAUAUUGAACCGCAUGGUUCAAUAGUGAAAGACGGUUUUGCUGUCACUUAUAGAUGGAUCCGCGCCGCAUUAGCUAGUUGGUAAGGUAACGGCUUACCAAGGCAACGAUGCGUAGCCGACCUGAGAGGGUGAUCGGCCACACUGGAACUGAGACACGGUCCAGACUCCUACGGGAGGCAGCAGUAGGGAAUCUUCCGCAAUGGGCGAAAGCCUGACGGAGCAACGCCGCGUGAGUGAUGAAGGUCUUCGGAUCGUAAAACUCUGCUAUUAGGGAAGAACAAAUGUGUAAGUAACUAUGCACGUCUUGACGGUACCUAAUCAGAAAGCCACGGCUAACUACGUG